UGACUUUGCCAGCAACUUGCUGUCCUCUCCUUUGCUCUCUUCAUCCUUUUUUGCAAUAUAAUUUCCUGAAAGUGUUGUCUGUACUCACUGUCUCUAAGUUUUCUCCCAAACUCUCUCAACCCACCCCAGUCAGGCCCUCUCUACUCCACUAGCAAGAGACUUGGGAAUAAUACCUGAAAAUCCUUCUUCUCUAGAAUUCCUGCCUUGCUUCAUGAGCAGCCAAGCACCCUCACAGACUGGUCCAGCUGAAGAAGUGAUGGCAGCUCUGCCGACUCUCCUGCGAGGUGAUAGUCUUGAGAAUGCUGCACAUAUGAAGAUGCCCAAUCUAGAAGUCCUUUCUGAUGACUUCUAAGGAGAUGCAUAAACAUUUUGUUGAAUUUUUCCUUCCCUUGUGAAUACUUUCAUGUGAGAGAAGAGCAAAUAGGAUCCUCUCCCCUUGGAUGGCUCUUGGCUUCCACUCAGCUAACCAGCAGAAGUCCCUAGCUGCUAGUAGGAUAGAGGUCCACAGUGUGGGCCAGAAUUGUUUUUCAGCCCACCCCUUCCACUCCUAAAAACAUGCUUUGCUGAAGUUUGCAGUAAGGGUUUAUGAAUGAGUGUUAAGAUCUCCAUUAGGGACAGGACUUGGAGCUCAUGAAGGAGCAAAUAUACGCUGCUCAGAGCAUCUCAGUGAAAGGACACAUUUAUGGACCAUGCAUAUGUCAAAACAAGCUUCUCUUCCCACCCCACUUGUGGAGAAAGGUGGACUCAGACACUAAGAAGCCUAAAUAUAUUGAUAAAUCUCAUCGAUGCACAGGUACUCAAGGCAUGCUUGUAGGAUGAAUGAGUGAGCAGACUAUUUCUUCUGAGCUGGUUCCAGUCUUGCUAGGCCCCUUGGAAGAAUUUCCAAAGACACCAGAUCAAUUCUGCCUUCUCUUGCCACCUACAAAACGUCAAGUGUGUAAGACCCUCAGGUCACUUAGGCAAAUUUUCAGGAUGCUUGACAACACCAUGCCUGAGUGCCUCUGACUCUCAUGUAGAGGUGAGUGUCUUCCGAAGAUGAAAUUGAGAUGAGGGGUGAGAGAUUCCUCCAGGGGCCCAGCUUCCCUGUGAGAUCCUCUCACAACUGAAAAGCAUCCCGGGAGGACCUAGGUGGCACUCGCUCCACACCCUGGGCUGUGAUGGUAAAGCUCUCAGUGGUCAGUGUGGCUCCAGAUCACGAGCUCCUCCUGUCUCGAGUGUUUCUGGACGGGGGAACAUUAGAGCAGAGAUUCCCUAGGAGACCCUGAAGAUGCCUCAUCACCUCCCUACAGCAGGAGGGAACCCAGAAAUGGCUCACAGCCGAAGCCACUGUCCCACAGCAAUACAUCCUGUGGCCAUUGAAACUGGAAACCAGACAGCCAUUUGGGCCCAGUCUCUCCAUAUUUUGGGGAAGUUGUAAAAACUUAGUGAGUAAAAGGAGUCCAGUGAAACUCUAUUAUAACGUUGGUGCUGGGAGCUGUGAAGAACACCCCUUAACAGACGUUCGCUGAUCUAGUGAAAGACACAUUCCCUAAAGAGUCUAGGGCACCAGGGGACAGGAUUUCACCUGCUAGAAAACUACAUCUAAGACCGGGAGAGGCACUUCCCAGUAGAUUUUUUGCUUUUUGUGUGAUUUUUUUUGAUUGUUUGCUUUCCUUUCUUUUGUUUUACUCUAGUUCAGUUCUACUGGUAGCAGAGUGCGACUCCUACAUGAUGUGGCACAAUUUCCCUAAGUUUUAGUAAAAGAUGUGUAAAAAAACUAUGGCCUCCAUGGCAGAAUCAGAAAUAAUGAACUAGCAUGUGAAAAAACAGAAAAUGUAAG
rnacentral:lncRNA from 1 species